UUCCUUGAAUGGUACAGGCAU
rnacentral:piRNA from 1 species